GAAGUCCGUCAGACCGUCGCUGCCCCCGUCCGUCGAGGCCGGGGGGAGAGGAAAGUCCGGGCUCCAGAGAGCAGGAUGCCGGGUAACGCCCGGCCGCAGCAGCCGCGGCUUCGCCGCCGCGGUCAAGGCGAGGAACAGGGCCACAGAGACGAGUCGUCCCCGGUCACACGGGGGCGGGUGAAACGCGGCAACCUCCAUCCGGAGCAACACCAAGCAGCGGACGCGCUGUUGGCAACACAGGCUGCUCGCUUAGUCCGCGGGUAGGUGGCUCGAGCCCACCGGCAACGGUGGGCCUAGAGGAAUGACGGUCGGGGCGCGCAAGCGCCUGUCACAGAACCCGGCUUAUCGGCGGGCUUCGCCU
rnacentral:RNase_P_RNA from 1 species